GACGAACGCUGGCGGCGUGCUUAACACAUGCCAGUCGAACGCUGAAGCUCAGCUUUUGUUGGGUGGAUGAGUGGCGAACGGGUGAGUAACACGUGAGUAACCUGCCCCCUUCUUUGGGAUAACGCCCGGAAACGGGUGCUAAUACUGGAUAUUCACUGGUCUUCGCAUGGGGGUUGGUGGAAAGGGUUUUUCUGGUGGGGGAUGGGCUCGCGGCCUAUCAGCUUGUUGGUGGGGUGAUGGCCUACCAAGGCUUUGACGGGUAGCCGGCCUGAGAGGGUGACCGGUCACAUUGGGACUGAGAUACGGCCCAGACUCCGACGGGAGGCAGCAGUGGGGAAUAUUGCACAAUGGGCGCAAGCCUGAUGCAGCGACGCAGCGUGAGGGAUGGAGGCCUUCGGGUUGUGAACCUCUUUCGCUCAUGGUCAAGCCGCAACAAUGGUUGUGGUGAGGGUAGUGGGUAAAGAAGCGCCGGCUAACUACGUG
rnacentral:rRNA from 1 species